AGAAGAAGAAGAAGAUGGUGAUGAUGAUGAUGAUGAUGAUGAUCAUCAUCAUCAUCAUCAUCAUCGUCAUCAUACAAA
rnacentral:pre_miRNA from 1 species